rnacentral:misc_RNA from 1 species
ACACCUCAACUCUCAUGGUCUGCCAUGAUGAGCUUGGACUUUGGGGGUCUUGCUGGCCUAGCGUCGGCUCCUCUCAAAUGGAUCAGCUUGCCAGUGUUUGGUGGCAUCACGGGUGUGAUAACUAUCUACGCUUGUGGUUUUCCAUCAUGUAACCUUCAGUGAUGGAGGUUCGCUGGAGCUCACAGAUGUCUCUCCCUGGGAGGACAGCUCUUUGAAC